rnacentral:lncRNA from 1 species
AUUCCAGCAAUUAUUCAUUAAAGUUUUAAAGCAAAUUGAAUUCUAUACUUUACAUAAUUUCAAUGAUAUUAUAUGAGUAUGAUUUAAAUUUUUCCUAUGAAUAUAUCAUGAGUUUUAAAUGAUGAAUCGUCAAGUCCAUUUAUUUUAGAAAUGGGCUGGGCCCAAUUAAUUGCUAGAUUUUAAAAGUUUUUCUUUUUCAAAGCCCAUUUUAAUGUUGUCGCAGUGUUACUGAUACAGCUAUAACAACUCUUUUUUUUUUUUUUCUCUUUCUUGGAGCUCACGUUUUUCAAUCAGAUACUUUCAUAUUACCGCAUUAAUUAUUGAAUGGAAUUCAGUUUUCCACGUAGCCUAGUUUCCUCCAAUUUUAACACCCCCGAUCCUUCAGCUUCUUUAAUCACUCAUCAGCUAAUCACCAACGAGAGUUAUUUCCCUUCCAAACAAUUCAGUCCAGAUUAAGAUCGGAUUCCCCAGCAAACUUCUAUCUCCCAAAUUUCAAUCGCAGUUCCUUGAAGAACGUUCACAAUCACUCCAGAGACCAGAGUACCUACAAUUCCAUAGCAAAAUCGUACACCACCACAAUAUCUAUAAUCUACAGUUCUUCAACCCAUUCUCGGCCAUAAAUUCAAGAAACCAAAAUUUAUUUUCACAGAUGUAAACCAACUCACAUAUUCAUGCAAUAAUCAGUAAUCUACUUCAUAAGAACCAUCAUAUUUACAGAGGAUCUUGAAACAGAAAGCAAGAGAAGUAUGGCAUAUAAAUUGACUUUGCAUAUAAUGUAUGCCUGCAUAUACACAUAUGCAUUUUUCUGCAAAUUAGCUAAUCAAAUCUUUUUAAUAAAGAAAAUGAACUUUGGUGUUGUGUGCAUUGGUGUGUACUGUGUUUGUGCGUGCAGUUGUUCUUAGCCAGGGUAGGGUGAGAUGAGAUGAGGGCGGUGGUGGCGGCCUGGUGGCUCCUGCUACCCGACGAUAGAGAGAGAGGCGAGGCGGCUGGACAGCGGGACUGUUCGGCGGAGGGAGCGAUGGCGGCCUCGGCCUUUGAGGUCGACCGACGAUCCAGAGAGGGUGAGAGAUCGGCGUGGUGGCCGAUGGCUAUUGCUGCUGCUCUUUUGACAAGCAGAAGGGCGAAGGAGGCGAUUCAUGGCUGCCGCUCACCGGAGUCGAGAGUGAGGAGGUGGUAGGCAUAAUUGAUAGAAGAGGAUAGGGGCUUGAGGGAUGAGGGUGAAGGUGGCUGACAGCGGCUGGUGGCCGCCAGAUUUGGAGGCAGAGGCGGCGAUGGCGACGGUCUGGCUGACCGCUUCUGUCGGCUGAAGCAGAGGGGGGCAGUUCCGGUGGUAACCUCGCCGGAAAUCGUAGGAGAAGCUAGGGUUUCUGAAAUUUUGGGGAUUUUUGUGAGGAAGGAGAUAAGGGGGGACGAGCGAGAGAAAGAGUGAAGAGAUCAGAGGUGAGGGAGAAGAACGAGGAGGCGGGGCGGCGACACCCCUCGCCGGAGCAGGAGGCGGGGCGGCGGAGGUUAUCUGUGUGGAGGAAAUGGAGAGACAGAGGAAGGGAGUUUCAGCGUGUUAUAGAGAGAGAGAGAGAGAGAGACGAGAGAAAAUAAGGGAUAAGAAUUUGGGUUAGGACCAAGGGGUAUUGGGCUCAGUCUGGGCCGCUUCUAAUUAGAUAAAGUGGGCUGCAUUUUAUUUUAAACUUGGGCCAUUAAUUAUAUUGGGCUGCAUGUUUAUUUGUUGGAUUUUAACUCGUUGGGUUUGCCCAUUGAAUGUGUUAAUUAAAUUUUUCACUAAUUAUUUCUUUACAACUGUUAUUAUAGGCAUAUGAUUGUUUGAUUAUAUCUUUUAAUUUAAUUGAUGUUAAAGUCUUACAAAUUUUUGUAAGAAAAAUAUUUUUAAAUUGAUUUUAUGCUCAAGAUGAGUUUUUAAGUAAAAGUCGAGCAAGGGUAUUAUUCGAACCAUU